CGCAUCUGUGCAUGCAGCAUAUCAAUAAGCGGAGGAAAAGAAACUAACAAGGAUUCCCCUAGUAACGGCGAGUGAAGCGGGAAGAGCUCAAAUUUGAAAUCUUAAAGGGUUUCCCUUUACGAAUUGUAGUUUAAAGAAGUGUUUUCUGUUGAGGUUUUGGUAAAAGUUCUUUGGAAUAGGACAUCAUAGAGGGUGAGAAUCCCGUAUUUGACCUUUACUUUCAACUUUGUGAUACACUUUCGAAGAGUCGGAUUGUUUGGGAAUGCAGUCCAAAAUGGGUGGUAAAUUUCAUCUAAAGCCAAAUAUUGGCAAGAGACCGAUAGCAAACAAGUACCGUGAGGGAAAGAUGAAAAGAACUUUGAAAAGAGAGUUAAACAGUACGUGAAAUUGUCAAAAGGGAAGCGUUUGACACCAGUGUUGUUUUUCUGAAAAUCAAUUAAAGAACUGUUUAUGCUAAGCUGUUUAGACUUUAUCAGCUAACUGUUUAGUUUUGAGCUUUUCUUUAAUGCACUUUUCAGUUAACAAGUCAACAUCAAUUUCUUUUGCUGUAAAAAAGCUUGAGGAAGGUGGCUUGAGAUUCGUCUUAAGUGUUUAUAGCCUCUUGCCUAUGCAGUCGGAGAGAUUGAGGUCUGCAGCGUAGAUCCUUCGGGGCUAAAUGCAUUUGUGCUAAGUUAUAGCAUUUUAUAGACAACUUGUUGACUAUGAUUUGUCUUGUAGCUUACUCGCUUAUGUUAUUUUACCUACGCUUAGGAUGUUGAACGCGCACAGAGUCUC
rnacentral:rRNA from 1 species